rnacentral:misc_RNA from 1 species
GUGGCAGGGUAGUGCAUACUUCAAGUUAAAUGAAGGCGCGAUGAAUGCAGAUAUCUUAAGUAUGUGUGGUAUCGAUGCAAUGGCAUUGGGUAAUUUAAUCGUGUUCAGUAAUGUGCUCAUCGCGACUGUUUAAGAAAACUUGAAUUGUCGCGAUAAAUCGAAUCCUCAGCCUUAUUGACGAGACUGAGGAUUUUUUUUAUCUUU